rnacentral:rRNA from 1 species
GUCCUACGGGGCGCAGCAGUGGGGGAUAUUGCACAAUGGGGGAAACCCUGAUGCAGCGACGCCGCGUGGGCGAAGAAGUAUUUCGGUAUGUAAAGCCCUAUCAGCAGGGAAUAGAAAAGAAGGUACCUGAAAAAGAAGCCCCGGCUAACUACGUGCCAGCAGCCGCGGUAAUACGUAGGGGGCAAGCGUUAUCCGGAUUUACUGGGUGUAAAGGGAGCGUAGACGGAAAGGCAAGUCAGAAGUGAAAACCCAAGGCUCAACCAUGUGACUGCUUUUGAAACUGUCAAACUAGAGUACGGGAGAGG